UCCACACAGGGGGAUGUACCCCACUGCCUUCAUAGGUGAGAACAGAGCACAACACUCCUGGCUCCCAGUCCCCCUGCUCUAAGUCACUAGACCCCACAGCCCUCCCAGAGCUGAGGAGAGAACCCAGGAGUCCUGGCUUCCAGCCCCCACUGCUCUACCCACUUGUCCCAGCUCCCCUCCCAGAGCUGGGGAUAGAACCCAGGAGUCCUGGCUUCCAGCACCACUCCCAUUCUAACCACCAGACCCCACUGCCCUCCCAGAGUUGGGGAGAGAACCCAGGAGUCCUGCUCCCCUCUCUACAAAGUUUUCUUCCCUAAAGGUGCUCACUCUGAUAGGGUUAAAACACCCCCUGUAUCACCCCAAUAGCAGCCGCUUUCCUCUAAUUUACUCACCAAAUUAUCAGCCAUGGUGGGUUGCAGCCUGGCCCUGGAGACUGGAGGGUUCUGUCCAUGUGUCCCACUGUGGUCUGUGUCAUUUGGAUUGUUCAUCUGAGGUUUCUUUGCCUGUCGGACAUCCCCUCUUCUUCCCCCACAAUGGUCAUCAAAGAUAAUUAUAGGUUGUUAUCUAUCAGUGACGCCCACUCAGGAGCUUUUAGUGUUGAAGCUGGUGAGAAGGUGUGAAAAGUGGAUUGGAUGGGGCGAGUGCUGGCGUGAAAAAACAGCUUUCACUUGUCUCAACUUCCCCUUUUUGGCCCAUAUUGGUUGUUUGUUGGUUUUCACCAGAGAUUCAGUCAUGAAGCCUGCAGAGCGCAGAAAAGAUUGAAGUCUCUGGUGUGUGUGUGUGGGGGUGUCUUUUAGAGAACCUGCCAUGGGGGGCGUGUGUGUGAAAAAACAGACUUUACUGCUGUCCUGGAGCUGGGGAUAGAACCCAGGAGUUCUGGCUCCCAGCCCCCACAUUCUAAGCCACAAGACCCCACUCCUCUCGUAGGUCUGGGGAUAGACUGAUCCUGGAAGGGAAGGAUAGUGAGAUAAUAGGUAUUCAAAUGUUUCCUUGCAGUGCAUCUCUCUGUAUGCAUCACAAGCUCUUCAAGGAGUGAGUGAUCUAGUGGGUUUGUGUGUGUAUGGGGUUGGGAGCCAGGGCUCCUGGGUUCUCUCUAGGAGUCUGGGAAGGAGUGGGGUCUGGUGGAAUAGAGAGGUGAGCAGGCUCACAGCCAGGGCUCCUGGCUCUGUAGAGCCCCCUAUGAGGUUGGAGUCCCACCAUUCUUUGGGUUUAGGAUUCUCAGUUCUUAACAUCCUGACUUGCCUUUCUCUCUGACAGAGCUCCCACAACCCCCCUCUGUGUUCCCUUUGUUCCCCUGUUGUGACGACAUUGCUGGGAGCUCCACUUGUGAGGUGACUGUAGCCUGCCUCGUGACUGGCUAUUUCCCGGAGCCCGUGGACAUCAAGUGGAAUUCUGGCACGGUGACCAAUGGGAUCAAGACCUUCCCAGCCGCGGCACAGAGCAGUGGCAGGGCCUUCACCCUCGUCAGCCAGCUCACCGUCCCUGCCUGGGACCUGGUGAACAACACCUACCAGUGCAGUGUGGAGCACACUCCCUCCCAUAAAAAGAUAGAUGUGGAGAUCACGAAUGUAUGUGAGGCUCUCAUUCAUCCUGAGGUUCGCCUCCUAGGCCCCUCCUGUGAGCGCAACUCUUUGGAGAAGCAGCUGGAGGUGGUUUGCCUCCUCCUGAGAUUCAGCCCCGGUGCAGCCAAAGUGGAAUGGCUGGUGAAUGGUGAGAAGGGGAACCUUCCCACCACGGACUUCUCCAUUUGGAAGGGCACAGAAGGCUUCUAUAUGGGCCAGAGCUGAGUGAACGUCACCAAGGAGAGCUGGGAGAAGGAGGACGUCUACACCUGUAAAGUUACCCUCCCAGCGAGGGGAACGGAGCACUUCAUGCACAACACCAGCAAGUGCUUGGCCUGUCUCAGUAACUCAGUGGCUCCAUCUGUCUAUGUCACCGAGCCGUCCUACGAUGACCUGAUUGGGGAGACAGCCCGUGUGACGUGCUUGGUGCUGGGCUAUAUCUUGGUAGAUGUUCAGGUGGCUUGGGAAGUGGAUGGGAAAGCCAGCUCUGAGGUGGAGACAGGAGCCCCGGAACAAGCCAAUGGGACUCAGAGCAUCACCAGCACCCACAAAAUAACCUUGGAGCAAUGGAAGAGCAGGACCAACUUCACUUGCAAAGUGAAACUUCCUUGUUUUGGAGAAGUCACCCAGGAUAUGCCACUCAUGGACAUGACCUACCCUGCCCAUGAGUCUACUGUCUCAGCCACUGUCUCCUGCCCGGACCCAGAGGAAACUCCAGGGAAGAGAGAUUCCCACACGUUCCUCUGCGACGUCACUGGAUUCUUCCCAGCAGACAUCAGUUUCCGCUGGGAGCACAACGGCUCCAUAGUCCUGCCUCCCAGUACAGCAGUGGCCCCAUCGUCAGAUCUGGCCAGGCCUACUCCACUCAGAGCAUCUUGAGAGUCCCCAGGCCCAAGGGGGAAGGAGAAGCGGGGCCCCAGUAUUUCUGCCUGGUGUGGCACAUGACGCUGAAUGAAACCUUGAAGGUCAAGGUGAAGCCAGGGAAUUGUGGCGGAAACUGUAAUCAACAUCCUCUGGAGGUCUUUCUCCUUCCCCCUUCCCUGGAGGAUCUCUACAUAGGGCAGAACGCCACCAUCAGUUGUUUGGUGAGCAGCAUGGAGACCCCCGGAAGCCUGGAGGUCUCCUGGAACCAGGGUAGCGGGGGCCCAUUGGCCGUGGUCUCCAGGGAGCCGGUGCUGCAGGAAAAUGGCACCUACAGUGCAACCAGCAUCCUGCGGGUGUGCAUGGAGGAGUGGCAGGCAGGGGAGGAGUUCACCUGCACAGUGAAGCACCAAGACAUCCCAUCAGCCAUUGUCAAGACCAUCCACAAGAUUCAUGUGGUCUCUCCCAUAACCCUUCUGUCUACAUCUUCCCUCCUCACGCUGAGGAGCUGGCGCUCCGGGAAUUGGCCACCAUCACCUGCCUGGCCUCCGGCUUCCGGCCCAGAGACAUCUUGGUGACAUGGACCCAGCAGGACCGGCCCGUGCCCCAGGAGGCCUACACCAACAUCGGUCCCGUCCGGGAGGCCGGGAAGGAGGAGCGCUACUUCAUCUACAGCAAGCUCAAUGUCUUGGCAUCUGAAUGGGGAUGGGGGGACACGUACGCCUGCAUGGUGGGGCACGAGGGUCUGCCCAUGACCUUCGUCCAGCGGAGCGUGGACAAAGCCUCCGGUAAACCCAGCGCUGUCAAUGUCUCUGUGAUCUUGUCCGAUACCGACGUCACCUGCUACUGAGGAGCAGAGCCGUGUGGGCUCCUCAUGGCGUAUCUGAGAUGGCCAGGGAACCUCGUGGGGUCUGGGAUUCCUCUUAGCCUGUGUGUAAAGCUGUGGGAGCUCUGGUGUACAGAGCGUGGCUGUGUGUGGAAUAUGCCCAAAUAAAAAUGCAGCAUGCCAGA